UCCCUGAAGGACUAGUGGUUAGGCCAUGGCGCUCUCAUUGCUUGGGCCCGGGUUCGAUUCCCGGCCAGGGAA